rfam:Gossypium hirsutum cultivar TM-1 chromosome 6, whole genome shotgun sequence
UAUUAAAAAUUUCAUCUAUUUGUGUUGUUGAAAAUUGGCAUACUUUGACGAAAUAACAAAAUAAUGACAUGCUAUAUGUACUUCAUACUAACGUACAAAGAUAAAUUUUUAACAGCAGAAAUGAAUGAAAUUUUUGACA